GGAGGACAGCCAGGAUUGGAGAGGGCUACAGGCAGAGGGCAGCGAGGUGUCUUGAAAGUAGAAUGCGCGGUCCCAUCCAGUUAGGAAAGGAGGGUCCCCAAAGCCACUCUUGCUGUAGCCCUGUUUUGGACCCCCGCGAGAGAGGCAGGUGUAGUCAAGUGUACUUUGGAGUAAUCCUCCUUGGGCCAGGGACGCUGGGUGCUGGCUGGCUCGCUGGAGCGGGUGACCGCUAUCUUCCCGGCCACUCCUUCCUCCCCACCUCUCCCCUCCUGCUCGCGACCUUCGACCUCCAUCCUGGACCCACGGGGAACUGGGAGGAGACGCUUAAAGCCUCAGGUCCUGUCUGUGGACUCCGGGAUGUGGGUGCCGCCAGGAGCCCAGAAUUCGCGCACUGGGCGUUGCGAGUGUCACCGCCGGCUGCGGAGUAGGCAUGCCAGGCUCCUGAAACUCGUCCCCUUCACCAGUAAAUCUCUGGUGUCUGGUGUUGAGCAAAGCCAGCCUCGCAGGAAGCCACUCCGGAUGUUUGCUUCUUUACAUGUGGCAUUUGUGGCUGGCUCUGAUAACGUGGCCAGCUCAGCUUCCAACACCGCGUGUAGUUCAGAAACUGAAGUAUGAGUCCACACACUGAGCGGACGCAUCUGCGGCCCCGUCGCUCACAACGCGCCACCAAAAGUAACUGUCAGGAGAAUGGUCAGAAAUUAGAUCUAGAUCAGUAGCUUGUCUGCAAGAGCCCAGGAACAAGCGCAAAAACAAGGAGGCACGCAUGUUUUCUUCCCCACCCGGGCCUGGGCCUUCCCGGGUCCCAAGCGCACUUCUGGUGAAGGGCUGACCUUGCAAGAACACGAAGGUCGCAGAGGACUUGGCGCCAGAGCCCGGCUCCAGCCAGUUUUUCCCGGGGCAGGUGUAACCUAGGACGCAGGACUGGGGGAGGGGAAAGAGGCGGGCGUGGGGUUGAACUGGG